rnacentral:rRNA from 1 species
UGGGGAAUAUUGGACAAUGGGCGCAAGCCUGAUCCAGCCAUGCCGCGUGAGUGAUGAAGGCCCUAGGGUUGUAAAGCUCUUUUGUGCGGGAAGAUAAUGACUGUACCGCAAGAAUAAGCCCCGGCUAACUUCGUGCCAGCAGCCGCGGUAAUACGAAGGGGGCUAGCGUUGCUCGGAAUCACUGGGCGUAAAGGGUGCGUAGGCGGGUCUUUAAGUCAGGGGUGAAAUCCUGGAGCUCAACUCCAGAACUGCCUUUGAUACUGAGGAUCUUGAGUUCGGGAGAGGUGAGUGGAACUGCGAGUGUAGAGGUGAAAUUCGUAGAUAUUCGCAAGAACACUAGUCGCGAAGGCGGCUCACUGGCACGAUACUGACGCUGAGGCACGAAAGCGUGGGGAGCAAAC